UACGUAGGGUGCGAGCGUUAAUCGGAAUUACUGGGCGUAAAGCGUGCGCAGGCGGUUUGUUAAGACAGGUGUGAAAUCCCCGGGCUUAACCUGGGAACUGCAUUUGUGACUGCAUAGCUAGAGUACGGUAGAGGGGGAUGGAAUUCCGCGUGUAGCAGUGAAAUGCGUAGAUAUGCGGAGGAACACCGAUGGCGAAGGCAAUCCCCUGGACCUGUACUGACGCUCAUGCACGAAAGCGUGGGGAGCAAACAGG
rnacentral:rRNA from 1 species